rnacentral:misc_RNA from 1 species
GCUUAUUGGAUCGUCAACGACUUCAGACGUGGCAGCGGAGGCUCUACACCGAAAUCGAAGCCGUCGCGGAUCUCCUGCUCUCCCCGAAGUAAUCCCAUGCCGAACAACGAACAGCCCAACUUCGACGAGGAGUUCGACGAGGCCGUCGCCGAGUGGCGCGAUGAACAUCGGCUAGGAGAAGACGACGCGGUGUUACUCCUGGUCGAGUUGUUCCGAAUUCACCAGCGGCAUUGGGAUGAAAUCCGCCGCCGCGAGUUGCCAUCGUUCGAUCAAUUUCGUUCGGACAUCACGAAACUCGUCGAAGCAUCGAAAGAUUUUCAACAACAGGCGGCGGCAAUCAUUGCAGUGCUCCGAACUCAUGCGCCGGGCCAUCGAAUGGUAAGGGUGACUCGCACCGCCG